AGGGAUCAUUACCGAGUUAUACAACUCAUCAACCCUGUGAACAUACCUAUAACGUUGCCUCGGCGGGAACAGACGGCCCCGUAACACGGGCCGCCCCCGCCAGAGGACCCCCUAACUCUGUUUCUAUAAUGUUUCUUCUGAGUAAACAAGCAAAUAAAUUAAAACUUUCAACAACGGAUCUCUUGGCUCUGGCAUCGAUGAAGAACGCAGCGAAAUGCGAUAAGUAAUGUGAAUUGCAGAAUUCAGUGAAUCAUCGAAUCUUUGAACGCACAUUGCGCCCGCCAGUAUUCUGGCGGGCAUGCCUGUUCGAGCGUCAUUACAACCCUCAGGCCCCCGGGCCUGGCGUUGGGGAUCGGCGGAAGCCCCCUGCGGGCACAACGCCGUCCCCCAAAUACAGUGGCGGUCCCGCCGCAGCUUCCAUUGCGUAGUAGCUAACACCUCGCAACUGGAGAGCGGCGCGGCCACGCCGUAAAACACCCAACUUCUGAAUGUUGACCUCGAAUCAGGUAGGAAUACCCGCUGAACUUAAGCAUA
rnacentral:rRNA from 1 species